rnacentral:lncRNA from 1 species
UUGCAUGCAUAGUGGGUUAUGAUGCAUUAGCAAUAUGUUAGAUGUCUUUUGGUAAGGUGGAGUAUAGAUGCCUAGGGGUACAUGGUGAUUUGUACCGGGGGAUGUGGAGUGUAACAUUUGGAUCAUGAGUAGAGAUGUGAUCAAAUGUGUAGAAUCCUUUAUCUGUGAAAGAGACCCUGUACUGGUGGAGUGCGAGAGAGGCACUUCUAUCACUUCUAUAAGGUGGAGUCCCAUUAUCCACAUAGGUUGAGAGGAGUGAUGUGGUGAUAAAGGAUUAUCCCUGGAACUUAGGAUCUAUUGUGACUUGCCAUUUUAACAUGAGUUGUGUGAUCUAUUUAGUGAGCAUGGUGGGUGAUGAGAGGAGAUAUGUGUUCUUGAGGUGAGAGUAACACGAAAUGGGAUAGGAUAAGUGUGGUGAGAUCUUUCGUGAGGUCAUUUAUGCAUGUGUUGCAUAUGUGUUUGAUCGUGUGCUGAUUAACUUGGUAUUAAUCGGUGGUUCUGUGUGAACGUGAAGUUGAAAAGAUCUGUGUUAGGUAUCCUAUAUAAUAUCUUUAUCGCAUGAUUAGUUGUUCACUGUAAGUAAUUGUUUCUACCGGGUGUUCUUGACCUUAGCUCUGGUGAGUAUACGGAGCAGGUAUGGUGUGUGUUUCAGGUUGGAAACAUGAGGUAAGGUUUUGAGCCCAAUUUUAUUGGAUUACCUUGAUUUUGCAAGUAUAAACUAUGUGUUUUUUGAUUGCUUGUAGGUUAUUGGACAUUAAGGUGGAGAUUGUUCGGUUUUGACACCCAAUAACUCCGGGGGCUAUGAUGUAAAAUCGAUUUUUGUUAUCAGUCGGCUUGGACCAAAUGGCUGAACGAAAUGUCAACGCCAGUAUUAGAACGACCCAACCCCAAAUUGUAUGGACCACUAGAAGUGACCUAAUUUAAUAGUGUCGCUCGUGGCCCGUUUCACCUUUACUUGGAGGGCUUUACGUUGUUACCUAUUUUGGAGCCCAUUGACUUGAGUGUUGGGCCUUUGGGCCGUGACUUUAACCUAUACCUAACUUACCAUAUUUGGACUCCUUUCUUGGGCUAUAUACUUGCUUCUUACUCACUGCCUCCAAAUAGACCCGUGUGUGCAAUUGGAGUCUUCUUCCCGUUUUCUCUUUUGUCUAUUCGGUUGUUCUUCACCUGUGAUUACUUUGUGAUCAUUUCCUGUGUGGAACAGUACAUCUUGGUGAGCUCUUUGUGAGCAAGUAAAGCAACCGUGAAGGGAAGAAACCGUUUUGGUCGAUUGGGUUUGAUUUCAUUGUGGUGUUGACAUUGGUGAAACGGAGCCCAAAAAAUUCACCUAUUGGAGGUCGAUUAUUCAACAAUGUGCAAGCCUGUCAUGGUAGUUUGAAUAUUUUACAGUUACUUGGAAUGGAUGGUAUUUGUGCUCUAAAGAUUAUUGUUUGUUAUCUUAAUAGUCUGUAGCAAAGUUCUUGUUUGUUAGGAAUAAUGUAGAUUAAAUGGUCUCUACAUUAGUGUAAUACCAAGAUUUUGCUGUUUGCUCCUCUAUGUGUUGAUAACGCAGUAUAACAUAUGUAUUUUUGUGACGAAGCUGUAAAUGCUGUUUUAGGGAAAAGAGCAUUUAUAACAAGCAUUGCUGAUGAUAAUGGAUAUGGUUGGGCUAUUGCAAAAUCACUGGUUGCAGCAGAAGCUGAAAUUCUUGUUGGCACAUGGGUGCCUGUAAGUAGAAUAUAUGAAAUUCCUAUCUGCAUAUAUUUGCUUUCACUCAGCAUGUUUAACCUUUAGUUAAAUUAUUGAAUUACUUCACAUAGGCUUUAAACAUUUUUGAAAGGAGCCUGCGAUGAGGGAAAUUUGAUUAAGCACACGUGUAAGAUUUUAUAAUCAUAAUCCUUUCAUUUUUUUACCUAACAAAGAGAACGUGAGAGAAAUCUCUUUUGUUGAGAAAGAAUUUGAUGUUAGUUUGCCAGAUGCUUCUUUGAUGGAAAUCACCAAAGUUUAUCCUUUAGAUGCUGUUUUUGACAAUCUCUAAGACAUUCCAGAAGAUGUAAUCUCAACAA